CCUACGGGGGGCAGCAGUGAGGAAUAUUGGUCAAUGGGCGCGAGCCUGAACCAGCCAAGUAGCGUGAAGGAUGACUGCCCUACGGGUUGUAAACUUCUUUUAUAAAGGAAUAAAGUGAGGCACGUGUGCCUUUUUGUAUGUACUUUAUGAAUAAGGAUCGGCUAACUCCGUGCCAGCAGCCGCGGUAAUACGGAGGAUCCGAGCGUUAUCCGGAUUUAUUGGGUUUAAAGGGAGCGUAGAUGGGUUGUUAAGUCAGUUGUGAAAGUUUGCGGCUCAACCGUAAAAUUGCAGUUGAAACUGGCAGUCUUGAGUACAGUAGAGGUGGGCGGAAUAAGUUAAGUAGCGGUGAAAUGCUUAGAUAUAACUUAGAACUCCGAUAGCGAAGGCAGCUUACCAGACUGCGACUGACGCUGAAGCACGAGAGCGUGGGUAGCGAACAGGAUUAGAUACCCGAGUAGUC
rnacentral:rRNA from 1 species